rnacentral:rRNA from 1 species
UNGCACGAGAACUNUUCUGCUUGCAGAAGAUAGUAAANUGGCGCACGGGUGAGUAACGCGUGGGUAAUCUACCCUAGUGUACGGGACAACAUCGGGAAACUGGUGCUAAUACCGAAUACGCUUCUUAAGACGCGAGUUUUAAGAAGGAAAGGUGGCCUCUUCAUGAAAGCUACUGCACAAGGAUGAGCCUGCGUACCAUNAGCUAGUUGGUGGGGUAAAGGCCUACCAAGGCGACGAUGGUUAGCGGGUCUGAGAGGAUGAUCCGCCACACUGGCACUGGAACACGGGCCAGACUCCUACGGGAGGCAGCAGUGAGGAAUUUUGCACAAUGGGGGAAACCCUGAUGCAGCGACGCCGCGUGAGUGAUGAAGGCCCUUGGGUCGUAAAGCUCUGUCAAUAGGGAAGAAAUGUAUAAUGGUUAAUACCCAAUAUAUUUGACGGUACCUAUAAAGGAAGCACCGGCUAAAUCCGUGCCAGCAGCCGCGGUAAUACGGAUGGUGCGAGCGUUGUUCGGAAUUACUGGGCGUAAAGGGCGCGUAGGCGGCCUGCCAAGUCAGAUGUGAAAGCCCACGGCUCAACCGUGGAAGUGCAUCUGAAACUGACAGGCUUGAGUACUGGAGAGGAAAGUGGAAUUCCUGGUGUAGAGGUGAAAUUCGUAGAUAUCAGGAGGAAUACCGGUGGCGAAGGCGACUUUCUGGACAGAUACUGACGCUGAGGCGCGAAAGCGUGGGGAGCAAACAGGAUUAGAUACCCUGGUAGUCCACAGCUGUAAACGAUGUGCACUAGGUGUAGGGGGUCGUUGACCCUUUCUGUGCCGUAGCUAACGCAUUAAGUGCACCGCCUGGGGAGUACGGUCGCAAGAUUAAAACUCAAAGGAAUUGACGG